rnacentral:lncRNA from 1 species
GCCUGGACUGCGCGGCGCCCUGAGGAAGGCCCGACCCAGUUCGCCUCGGUCUCGCCCGAGCCAGCUCCGGAGCCCACCGGCCACACCGCGGGACUCUGCCCGGGCCCGCCGUUGCGCGCGGGGGACACGUCUCUGUGACACACAAUCAGCGCGAACUGCAGCGCGGCCCAGCCCCGGAGCAGCUCGCCUCGGACGCUCCGGCGCCGGGUGGCUUCGCUGGAGGGACUGGGAGAAGGAAAUUAGGAACAAAACGAUUUUCUACAGAAGGAGGAAAAGCCUCCUGCAGAACCAUCGGGGAAAAGUCCUUACUCCCGCGCCAGCCGGACUGCCCCCACCUCCCGAGUGUGCACAGCCCCAGAAGGUGGAAUGGAAAGCGGCCGGGCUGUAGGGACAGGGUUUGGGGUCGUCAGGUCUUUCCAAGUUUGGGACCCAAGGCACGCAGGCCCCAGCAGCCCACACCCCUGAGCCCGGCUCUUGGCUAUUCCCUCCUCCACCUGAACGGCCCGGUUCCCCAAGGCCCAGGCACUCCUACUAGUGACCAGACUCUCAGACCCGCCUUGCUCCUAGCUCAGCGUCUCUUCCAUCUGCUGACCUCCCAGUUUCCCCUCCUGCUCGUCCUUUUCCCAUCCCACGACGCUCUGCAUCUCUCCUUCCUAACUCGCCGCCCAUCGGAGGCUCUCCGGUGCCUGCCUACCGCAGGACCAGUUUCCAUAGGCCGCGGGCACUGGUCUUCCCGGAGCGGUUACUUGAGGUCCCCUCCUCCAGCACAGACUCUCGAUCUGCCAGUGGUAGGAGCAGUUUCUGACCUGGCGUCCCGGCUGCGGCCGCGUGGAAGUGGGGGGCUGCCCGCUCCACCCCCACCCACCCGUCCGCCCCUGGCCGCCUCCUCUGGCAGGAACUGAACAGAACCGCAAAAAGUCUACAUUUAUUUAAUAUGAUGCAAAAUGGAAAAACAAAACAAAAACCCAACAGGCUGCUGCUUUGUAGAAAGACGGUGUGUGUCGUGUGAAGGCAAAGCCCCUUGUAUAUAACCCCGCCCCCUCCGCCC